UUGAUUCCAUGUCUUUACGAUUGUGAAUAGAGCUGCAGUGAACAUACAUGUACAUGUGUCUUUAUGGUAGAACGAUUUGUAUUCUUUGGGUAUAGAUCCAAUACUGGGAUUGCUGGGUCGAGUGGUAAUUCUGUUUUAAGUUCUUUGAGAAAUCGCCACACUGCUUUCCACAGUGACUAAGCUAAUUUCUGUUCCCACCAGCAUUGUAUAAGCAUUCCCUUUUCUCCACAACUUCACCAGCAUCUGUUAUUUCUUGACUUUUAUUCAUAGCCAUUCUGACUGGUGUGAGAUGAUAUCUCAUUGUAGUUUUGAUUUGAAUUUCUCUAGUGAUUAGUGAUGUUGAGUAUUCUAUAUGCUUCUUGGCCAUGUAGCUUCUUUUGGCUAGGGACCUGUAAGUCUCCCUAAGUUUCUUGCACUUACUAAGCCUUCAACAAAUGGUAGAAGAGUCAAUUCUGUUGGUGUUUCAGAAGAAAACAAUAUCACAGCCCGUCUCCAAUGGAUAGUACUAUAAAUCUUAAAAUGAAUUUUCAUUCAGAGUAAUAAACACAAGCCAAAGUUUUGUAGAUAUGUAACAUCUGUCAACUUUUUGUGUUAUCUACUUGUUUUCCGAAACACUGCUUCUGGUUUUAAAGGUAACUGCCCAUAGUGUUUCACUAAUAACAUUUUAAGCAUUACAAGUUCAACACUGAAGGUCAAAUGACAAUGAACUUUCAGUGCUUCCAAAAGCAGGGGCAGAGGGCAACUGCUGAGGGGGACAUUGUAUAGCCUAACCUUCUCAGAAUUUGAUUUAAAAGUAUGAUCUUCACAGCGUUGGCCAGCAAUAUCAUGGUCACUCCCUACGUCAUUCCCUGGGAGAAAAACAGCCCUAGGUUACCUAAACACUGUUGGCUAAGACCAAAUAUUUAUUAACAUCCUAAGCAGCCCCAUAAUCAAGCCAACGCUGAUAGGGACAAAGAAGGUGCCAUGUGCAGUUUUUCUCUAUGUCCCCGCAAUAUCUGAUCUGAAUUUUAAAAAGGGCAAUUACUGGGGGAGAAGGAAGCCUAUAUAUUAUGUAGGAUCCAAGUCUCAAACUGCUUUCCUAGGGAGUGUGAGGUUCUUGGAGAUUAAGUGCAGUACCUUUCUGUCUUGAGUCCUGUAGGCUGCCCUUCUAAUUUAAUGCCAGUCUUGAAAUAAACAGAAUGCUUUCCAAGUCAUCACUAAUUUUAACACUUUGGCUUAGAAUUGAUUCAACACUGCCUCCUUGCUGAAUGGAUAAUUCAAGCAAAAGACUCAAGAGCUGGAUGCUACCCAGACAGGUAGGCAGCCAGAUGAAGUGAGUGCCCAGGGAAAGGGCAGUAAGGGUCAGAAGAGAAAGAGGCUGGUGUUGUCACUGCCUCCUGCCUUCCUUAUGACUGUCUGUUCAGGAGUCGUCCUAGCAUCUCCCUUCUGCUGUGCUCCCUUUCCUGAAACCUUUUCUUCAAAAGAAGUGGAAAAGAGGAACAGGGAACCCGUAUAGCAACAGCAUCACCUGGAAUGAAUUCCUUUAGAACAUACUGUCUUGGAAAUCUAAAGCCUGCAGGGCUGGACAGGCAAGAAGAGCAGUGAGCACCGCAUGAACCUAAAAGCAAAUCAGCAUGUGGAUGGUUUUUUGUUUUUUGGGUUUUUUUGAGACAGUCUUACUCUGUUGCCUAGGCUGGAGUGCAGUGGCACGAUCUUGGCUCACUGCAACCUCCGCCUGCUGGGCCAAGGUGAUUGUCCCACUUCAACCUCUCAAGUAGCUGGGACCACAGGUGUGCACCAACAUGUGCAGUGAAUUUUUGUAGAGAUGGGGUUUCGUUGUGUUGGCCAAGCUGGUCUCGAACUCCUAGGCUAAGCAGUCGGCCUCCCAAAGUGUUGGGAUUACAGGCAUGAGCCACUGCACCAGGCCACACAUGCUUAUUUUACUCAGUCUUGCCCCUGAAUACCCAGAAGGCCUAAACUUAGGAAAAAGUCAGGGGAGGGAUGAGUUUAUCAUUCUUUGCACUCAAGCACAAAGUGCUUUGGAGUCGUUAUAUUUGGGUGAGUGCUUGCACUAUGAGUAGGAUAUUAUUUAGAAGCUGAGUUGUGUGCUGAGCAAAUACUUCUUUAAAAAUCAAAGCUGUAUGAAGAGAUCUGUUCUAGAGUCACAGUGUGGCUAAAUAGUGUGCUGUAAGAUAAGCAUAGGGCUCCUGAGGUGGUGCUGUUCUCCCACUGUAGUGAGUUUACUGUUCUUGCUAAGGAAAGUGAUCCUUUAUCAACCUCUCCUCUCAAAUGAACUGGCUUGUUUCCUGAGUGUGCCUUCAUGGAACCAUGUCUCCUCUUCCCUCAGUUCUCUCCUUCCCUCCCUUAUGUAUGACUCCUCCCAUAAUCCACACACAUGGAUUGAACCAAGUGAGGAUACUUAUCUGCUUCCUACCUCAUAGAAGGGCAUAGAGUGGACAGGGUCUAAGGUUAGUUCCUGAACUGAGUACCCACACAUGCAGAACUUUAUUUAAAGCUGCUGAAAUUUUUGUAUGACAGAUAGAUCAAUAGGACUGAAAACUGAUGGUUUUACCUACUUGUUGAACGUGAUUAAGUUCCAUGGCACCAUUUUAAAAUUGUGCUGUAUAGUUUUUGUAUGUUGCUUAAGAAGCAGUUUAGCCUAAUGGUUAAAAGCAUGGCCUCUGGAACUAGAUUUCCUCUGUAUGCCUCAGUUUCCUCAUCUGGGAAUAAUAAUAGUUCUACCUCAUGGGGUUGCUAUGAGGAUUAAAUUAUUUAAUUAAAUGAUUUCAUACAACUCUGAAUUGUACUUGACACUUAGUACUCAAAUAUUAACUGGGCCCAUCAUUAUCAUUACAGAUGUUGUUUACAAGCACUUGCCUUUGAGAUUUGUUUAGCUUUUUUAUUAAAUUAUGAGCGGCAUAGUAGAACAAUACAUAGGCUUGGGCCUGGAAUCAAAUUCUAGCUUUGCCUGUUACUAGUUUUGAAACUUUGAGUAAAUUACUUGAUGUGUCUGAGUUUUAAUAUUCUUAUAUGUAAAUUAUUUUUUUUAAGGAUUUUGCUUAGUGUUGAUAUACACACGUUUAACACAGUUAUGGAAAUUAUUUUUUUUACUAUUGUCAUAGAUAAGAAAUUAGCCCCUGGGUUGCUGGAGGGUGGUAAUGGUUAGGCAAACUCUCUUUGAAGUCUGCUUGAUCUGGCCUCUUGCAGGCAUGUACUCCGAAAUAUUUUUCAAAUGGAAAAGAAGGCAGAGAACACAAUUUUCAAAAUAUCUAGAGGCCUCCGAGAAGUCUUUGUAGAGAUCUAUAAAAUCUCAAGGCAAUUUAAAGAAAAUGUUUUAGAAACACUAUUCUCUCCACAUCCUGGGGCCGCAGCCUUCUCCAAAGAAACACAAAGGAAAUGAAUUGCCUUAGCAAAGAAACAAAGACACUCCAAAUAACAGAAGAAUGGGAAAGCUACAGACCUUGAAGUCAGAAGAAAAUUUCCUCUCCUUGCCCUGUUUCUCCUUAAAUGGAUCACCAGUACAGUCUCUUACUUCUAGAGCCAUGUUAAGCCUUUUUCCCCUAAGUUGUAAUGUCCUUUUGGUUGCAUCAUGUCCUAAGAUGCAAGAUGGUACAAGAUGAAGGUAUAUGAAGAGAUAAUGAAGAAAACAAAUUCAAUGUAUUUGCCAAGAACACAGUCUUUUAAAUAACUCUUAAAGGGUUCGUUUAGAACAAUGUAAUAGAUUGUGGUAAUCUAGUACACAAAGCUAGUAGGAAUCUCAUGUAUUAAUAAUAUUUCAACAUUCAGCAGUAGAGGGCAGCACUGUCCUUUUGCAAAAUGUUGCGCACUCGAGAAGGAAAAUAAAGGCAAAGCUCCUGA